rnacentral:rRNA from 1 species
GAUGAACGCUAGCUACAGGCUUAACACAUGCAAGUCGAGGGGAAACGACAUCGCAAGCUUGCUUUUGAUGGGCGUCGACCGGCGCACGGGUGAGUAACGCGUAUCCAACCUGCCCAUCACUUGGGAAUAACCUUGCGAAAGUAAGACUAAUACCCAAUGAUAUCCCACGAAGGCAUCGGAAUGGGAUUAAAGAUUUAUCGGUGAUGGAUGGGGAUGCGUCUGAUUAGCUUGUUGGCGGGGUAACGGCCCACCAAGGCAACGAUCAGUAGGGGUUCUGAGAGGAAGGUCCCCCACGUUGGAACUGAGACAAGGUCCAAACGCCUACGAGAAGCAGCAGUUGGGAAUAAUGGGCAAGGGGCGAGAGCCUGAACCAGCCAAGUAGCGUGCAGGAAGACGGCCCUAUGGGUUGUAAACUGCUUUUAUAAGAGAAUAAAGUGGGUCACGUGUGACUUUUUGCAUGUACCUUAUGAAUAAGGACCGGCUAAUUCCGUG